UGGUGAAAUAAUUGUAAUGUUCAAGGUCAGAUUUGAAUGGAGAAAGCUGAUCCAUUGUCAGUUUGGUGAAAUAAUUGUAAUGUUCAAGGUCAGAUUUGAAUGGAGAAAGCUGAUCCAUUGUCAGUUUGGUGAAAUAAUUCUAAUGUUCAAGGUCAGAUUUGAAUGGAGAAAGCUGAUCCAUUGUCAGUUUGGUGAAAUAAUUCUAAUGUUCAAGGUCAGAUUUGAAUGGAGAAAGCUGAUCCAUUGUCAGUUUGGUGAAAUAAUUAUAAUGUUCAAGGUCAGAUUUGAAUGGAGAAAGCUGAUCCAUUGUCAGUUUGGUGAAAUAAUUGUAAUGUUCAAGGUCAGAUUUGAAUGGAGAAAGCUGAUCUGAGAGCUCCCUUUGUUUCCAUCCUAUCAGUAUCAACACUACGCCUCAACAACCUUAGUGAACCUUCUCUCAGUGUGGUGUUCUGGGAAAACACACGUUACAUCUUCGGGCCGUUGUCGGAACGAGGCAUCGUUAAAGAAACAACAGUCAGAAGUCUAAGUUUCCAUCGCUGUCGGGAAACUGGACCCAGAACAGCAAAUCUGAAAGGUAACGGGUGGCCUCAGGGUUAGAAACCGUGCCAAAGAAAUAAAACACCUGCGAGGGAUAAACAAACACACCCCACACCCGAAUCCCCCCUCCACACACACACACACACACACUCACACACACACACACACACACACACACACACACACACACA